rnacentral:rRNA from 1 species
AGUGAACGCUGGCGGUAGGCCUAACACAUGCGAGUCGAACGGCAGCACAGUAGAGCUUGCUCUUACGGGUGGCGAGUGGCGGACGGGUGAGGAAUACAUCGGAAUCUACUUUUUCGUGGGGGAUAACGUAGGGAAACUUACGCUAAUACCGCAUACGACCUACGGGUGAAGGCAGGGGAUCUUCGGACCUUGCGCGAUUGAAUGAGCCGAUGUCGGAUUAGCUAGUUGGCGGGGUAAAGGCCCACCAAGGCGACGAUCCGUAGCUGGUCUGAGAGGAUGAUCAGCCACACUGGAACUGAGACACGGUCCAGACUCCUACGGGAGGCAGCAGUGGGGAAUAUUGGACAAUGGGCGCAAGCCUGAUCCAGCCAUACCGCGUGGGUGAAGAAGGCCUUCGGGUUGUAAAGCCCUUUUGUUGGGAAAGAAAAGCAGCAGGUUAAUACCCCGCUGUUCUGACGGUACCCAAAGAAUAAGCACCGGCUAACUUCGUG